rnacentral:rRNA from 1 species
AACGAACGCUGGCGGCAUGCCUAACACAUGCAAGUCGAACGAGACCUUCGGGUCUAGUGGCGCACGGGUGCGUCACGCGUGGGAACCUGCCCUUAGGGUCGGAAUAACUCCCCGAAAGGGGUGCUAAUACCGGAUAAUGUCUUCGGACCAAAGAUUUAUCGCUUGUGGAUGGGCCAGCGUCGGAUUAGCUCGUUGGUAGGGUAAAAGCCUACCAAGGCGACGAUCCAUAAGUGGACUGAGAAGAGGAUCAGCCACACUGGGACUGAGACACGGCCCAGACUUCUACGGGAGGCAGCAGUGGGGAAGAUUGGACAAGGGGCGAAAGCCUGAUCCAGCAAUGCCGCGUGAGUUAUGAAGGCCUUAGGGUUGUAAAGCUCUUUUACCCGGGAUGAUAAUGACAGUACCGGGAGAAUAAGCUCCGUCUAACUCUG